rnacentral:sRNA from 1 species
UCUGAAUAUAACUUUGAUGCCGAUAGGCGGUUUAGAAU